rnacentral:misc_RNA from 1 species
AAAGUCGUAACAAGGUUUCCGUAGGUGAACCUGCGGAAGGAUCAUUAUUGAACCUAAGCAAGCCUGACUUGCGCGUAUUUAAAACCCCACACAUUUAAAAAUAACGUAUAUUUUACUUAAAAAUAAGUAAUUAAAAGAUCACUUUCAACAACGGAUCUCUUGGUUCUC